rnacentral:rRNA from 1 species
UACGGAGGAUGCAAGCGUUAUCCGGAAUGAUUGGGCGUAAAGCGUCCGCAGGUGGCUGUGUAAGUCUGCUGUCAAAGAGCGAAGCUCAACUUCGUAAAGGCAGUGGAAACUACACGGCUAGAGUGCGUUCGGGGCAGAGGGAAUUCCUGGUGUAGCGGUGAAAUGCGUAGAGAUCAGGAAGAACACCGGUGGCGAAGGCGCUCUGCUAGGCCGCAACUGACACUGAGGGACGAAAGCGUGGGGAGCGAACGGG